GGAGGGUAUGGCUCAGUGGUAGAGCAUGUGCUUAGCAUGCACAAGGUCCUGGGUUCAAUCCCCAGUACCUCCA
rnacentral:tRNA from 1 species